rfam:Triticum urartu cultivar G1812 contig841088, whole genome shotgun sequence.
CUAUUAGUCCCUCCGCUCGAAAAAGCUUGUCCCAAGCUUGUCCCUCAAAUGGACGUAUCUAGCACUAACUUGAUGCUAGAUACAUCUAUUUGAGGGACAAACUUUUUCGGACGGAGGGAGUACAAC